rnacentral:rRNA from 1 species
CGAGGGUGCGAGCGUUGUCCGGAAUCACUGGGCGUAAAGGGCGCGUAGGUGGCCCGGUCAGUCCGUGGUGAAAGCGCGGGGCUCAACCCCGCGUCGGCCAGGGAUACUGCGGGGCUGGAGCACUGUAGAGGCAGGCGGAAUUCCGGGUGUAGCGGUGGAAUGCGUAGAGAUCCGGAAGAACACCGGUGGCGAAGGCGGCCUGCUGGGCAGUGGCUGACACUGAGGCGCGACAGCGUGGGGAGCAAACAGGAUUAGAUACCCUGGUAGUCCACGCCGUAAACGAUGGGCACUAGGCGCUUGGGGGAGCGACCCCCCGAGGGCCGGCGCUGACGCAUUAAGUGCCCCGCCUGGGGAGUACGGCCGCAAGGCUG